GCCUACCAAAUCCUGACAAACUCCGAAUGCCAGUAGUAUGAUUUACAGCAGUGAGCGACCGGGUGCUAAUGUCCGGUUACGAGAGUGGAACAACACAGACCAGCAACUAAGGUCCCCAAGAGUAUACUAAGUUGAUCUAACGAUGUUUUGCUGCAGAGACAGCUAGGAUGUUAGCUUGGAAGCAGCUAUUCAUUCAAAGAGUGCGUAACAGCUCACUAGUCGAGCGGCAAAGCGUGGAUAAUAAACGGGCAUCAAGUAUACCACCGAAGUUCUGGGCACGAAAGUGCGGUAGGGGAGCAUUCCAUUCCGCGUUGAAGCCGAACCGUGAGGUUUGGUGGAGUGUAUGGAAAAGCAAAUGUAGGCAUGAGUAACGAUAAUGCGGGAGAGUAACCCGCACACCGCAAGACCAAGGUUUCCUGAUCAACGCUAAUCGGAUCAGGGUUAGUCGGGUCCUAAGGGUAAGCCGAACGGUGAUCUCGAUGGAUAAUCGGUUAAUAUUCCGAUACUGACAUAUACCUCGAUGGAGAGACGAAGGAACGUAAGUGCCGCCACCUGACGGAAUAGGUGGUUAAAGGGCGUAGGUAUAGGGGCAGAUUAAGAGUUAGUCCUUGCUGAAACCUGACAGUACAGAGAGCCUACGGGCAAUUUGAUAGAGCACCCAAGUCGACUUCCGAGAAAAUCUUCUAAGUUAUAGUAUAUGUUACCCGUACCGUAAACCGACACAGGUGGUCGAGGAGAGUAUCCUAAGGUGCUCGAGUGAAUCACGGUUAAGGAACUAGGCAAAUUAACCCCGUAACUUCGGGAAAAGGGGUCCCUAUGAAAGUAGGGCGCAGCGAAGAGGUCCAGGCGACUGUUUAUCAAAAACACAGGGCUCUGCAAAUUCGAAAGAAGACGUAUAGGGCCUGACACCUGCCCGGUGCUGGAAGGUUAAGAGGGGAUGUCAUCGCAAGAGAAGCAUUGAAUCGAAGCCCCAGUAAACGGCGGCCGUAACUAUAACGGUCCUAAGGUAGCGAAAUUCCUUGUCGGGUAAGUUCCGACCUGCACGAAUGGUGUAACGAUCUGGACACUGUCUCAACCGUGAGCUCGGUGAAAUUGUAGUCCCGGUGAUGAUGCCGGGUACCCGCAACGGGACGAAAAGACCCCGUGAACCUUUACUAUAGCUUAACGCUGAAUUUGGGUACACAAUGUGUAGGAUAGGCCGGAGGCUUUGAAGCGGGCACGCCAGUGUUCGUGGAGCCGACGUUGAAAUACGGCCCUUUGUGUAUUUGAGUUCUAACCCUGCGAAGGGGACACCGUUUGGUGGGUAGUUUGACUGGGGUGGUCGCCUCCAAAAGCGUAACGGAGGCUUCCCAAGGUACCCUCAGCACGAAUGGUAACCGUGCGUAGAGUGCAAUAGCAUAAGGGUGCUUGACUGUGAGACAUACAAGUCGACCAGGUACGAAAGUAGGGUAUAGUGAUCCGGUGGUUCUGCGUGGACUGGCCAUCGCUCAAAGGAUAAAAGGUACUCCGGGGAUAACAGGCUGAUCGCCGCCAAGAGCUCAUAUCGACGCGGCGGUUUGGCACCUCGAUGUCGGCUCGUCACAUCCUGGGGCUGGAGAAGGUCCCAAG
rnacentral:rRNA from 1 species